GAGAGAGAGAGAGAGAGAGAGAGAGAGAGAGAGAGAGAGAGAGAGAGAGAGAGAGAGAGAGAGAGAGAGAGAGAGAGAGAGAGAGAGAGAGAGAGAGAGGUGUUCCUGGUGACACAGUGCUAGUGUAACACAAGCAGUGAUGCCAGCAAGGGACAGUGCCCCAGUACCCGACACAGCGCAGUGCAGUGUUCCCAGUAUUCCUCACCAUUGUUACCUCCCCCCGUGACUCCCACAACUCCAGUGCCGCGAGGAGUGCCAGUACGCCCCUUGAACGGUGGUUGCCCCAGUACAUCCUCAACAUCCCAGUGCAUCAAGGAGUCUCCCGGUACCCUCCAGUGCCAUCCCAGUGCCCGGAACAAUGCUCAGUGCCCCAGUGCCCAGUGCGAACCACCAGUACACACCCAGUGCCCAAAACAGUGUUCCCAGUACCCGAGCAGUGCCCCCGAGACAGCCAAAGACAGGGCCAUUACCGCUAACCCAGUAAGCAGUGAGCUGUGAAGCUCACCCAUGAUAACUCGGGACGAAAUUAAAACAAAAACUAGGGAAGAAAACUGAAAGUGUUACUGCAAUUUUUUAACACUGUGUAAUACUUAGAGAGAGAGAGAGAGAGAGAGAGAGAGAGAGAGAGAGAGAGAGAGAGUCAAGAAUUACAUAAUAUUAAACAAUUACUGUGAUAAUGUGAAAGGAAAUACUGAGACAGAUAAUACAUAACUCACUAUGUGUGUGUAUGUAUGUAUGUGUGUAUGUAUGUAUGUGUGUAUGUACGUACGUACGUUCAUGUACAUCUAUUUAUAGUGGGUGAGACGGUCAUGUGUAUGUGGGGGGCGUGUUAGGGGGGUAGCGCCCCCUUCACCGACCCACCAACGACCCCCCUCACCCCCCCAGCCUCAGGACUCUGCUAGGACCUCCGAGAGAGAGAGAGAGAGAGAGAGAGAGAGAGAGAGAUACGAGGGACCAUGGUGCUGUGUAUAUUCGUGUGUGUGUGUGUGUGUGUGUGUGUGUAGUUUGGAUUCACAUUUUCCUCUCCACUCCCAUAUUUUCCCUCCCACUCUCCUAUGAUAACAUUCCCAUGACAGAAGCCCCCAUCACUCCCUCUCCCUCUCUCUUAUUAUUAUUAUUAUUAUUAUUAUUAUUAUUAUUAUUAUUAUUAUUAUUCCUUCUUCAAUCCACAAGGCAUUUUUCUCACUCAAAGGCAAGCUAGUUUGUGUGUGUGUGUGUGUGUGUGUGUGUGUGUGUGUGUGUGUGUGUGUGUGUGUGUGUGUGUGUGUUUGUUAAGUUUCCUAUUAACAAUAAACCUUUAAAGUAUUUAUUAUUAUUAUUAUUAUUAUUAUUAUUAUUAUUAUUAUUAUUAUUAUUACUGAUAUUAAAUUUAUCAACUUA